rnacentral:rRNA from 1 species
UACGGAGGGGGCUAGCGUUGUUCGGAAUUACUGGGCGUAAAGCGUACGUAGGCGGCUUUGUAAGUCAGAGGUGAAAGCCCGGGGCUCAACCCCGGAACUGCCUUUGAAACUAGAUUGCUAGAAUCCUGGAGAGGUGAGUGGAAUUCCGAGUGUAGAGGUGAAAUUCGUAGAUAUUCGGAAGAACACCAGUGGCGAAGGCGACUCACUGGACAGGUAUUGACGCUGAGGUGCGAAAGCGUGGGGAGCAAACAGG